GUGUGGAGAAAGAAAGACCUGAACAAAAUGUUGCCAGCUGCCAUCUUCACUGGACAUUUUGCAUCCUGGAAGCAGAGCAGAUGAGUCUGGAUGGAGCCUGGAAGCAGCUGUAGCUGAUGGAGGGAUCCAGCCUGAGAUCAUCUCCCAGAGCUGCACGAGGAGCCGUGGGAGCCGGGGACGGUGGCAGGCAGCGUGACUUCAGGCUCAGAAUUAACCACAGCUGCUGCUUCACUGAAAG